rnacentral:lncRNA from 1 species
AGCCUUAAUCACCAUGGGCAUAUAGCUAUGGUUGAUCGUCCUCCCUUCUCAUCCAGACAGUUGUGAUCUUCAUGUGACCCUUCUUCUCUUUAGACACUUGGGACUGAGUACUGCAUCAAACUCUACUACAAAAAUUGCCCUUCAUGCUCGCUCCACAGAUAGAUCAUCAUGGGCCAGAAACAGGUUUCGAAUUACAAGGAUAUUGUCUCGGGUGAAUCUGAUUCAGAUGUUCUAGAGGGGCAUUGCUAUCUUGCUGAUCAGAUUAUUG